GACAGAGGGUGCAAACGUUGUUCGGAAUUACUGGGCGUAAAGCGCGCGUAGGCCGCAGCGUGUGUCGGGCGUGAAAUCCCACGGCUCAACCGUGGAAGUGCACUCGAAACUGCGCAGCUAGAGUCUCGGAGAGGAAGGCGGAAUGCUUGGUGUAGAGGUGAAAUUCGUAGAUAUCAAGCGGAACACCGGUGGCGAAGGCGGCCUUCUGGACGAUGACUGACGCUGAAGCGCGAAAGCGUGGGGAGCAAACAGG
rnacentral:rRNA from 1 species